rnacentral:lncRNA from 1 species
ACAAAGCGGUUGGAUUUUUUUCUCAAAGUUCCUCUAAAUUUUUUCUCAGAAGAACCAGAAAAAAAAAAACAAAACAAAACUCCAUCAGAAUGGGCACAGCAACUUUCGUUGACAUCAUCAUAGCCAUCCUCUUGCCUCCUCUUGGUGUCUUCCUCAAGUUUGGCUGCGAAGUCAGUAUUUUUUUUACAUAACAUAUUUGUGUGUGUUUUAUAGACAGAAUUUUGAUGUAGUUUUUAUUCAUGGUUCUUAUAAAUAUGACUUCAAUAAGUUGUAAAUAUAUGCUUAUGUUCGGGGCGGAUUUAUGAUUUUUCAGGCGGAAUUUUGGAUCUGUUUGAUUUUGACUCUUUUUGGUUAUCUCCCUGGUAUUAUCUAUGCCAUCUACAUCCUCACCAAGUGAUCCUUCAACAAUUUCUGUAAGCAAUUUUUUUUUUUUAUAAAUUUCUUUUACUUUUACUUGAAGGAAAAGUAAGAAACAGAAAUGAAACUGCAUAAUUAAGCAAACAUACAUGCCUUUUCAUUGGGCCACCUGACGCGACCUGCACUACCAACUGAUGAACUUCCUUUUUGUUGUCUUUUUUCAAUGGACAGGUGGUAGAGAUGUGAAGGGCAGCUGUGUGUGUGUUUUGUUUCUGCAUGAAGGGCUUGUGUUUUCAAUUGUUCAUGUAUAGAACUUAAUAAAAAAAUUAUCUGGUGUAUGUAGCCAAACGGAUUGUUCAUUUGUUUUUUUUUCUUUUUUUUUUUCUGGAUUUUAAUAAGAAAUGGUAGAGGCCUCAUAUUUGACUCACAAUCCAUUUGCUUUACACUCUUUACCCUAUUUUUCUCUGUUUGUCAAAUUAAUUUUGUGCAAAGACUAAUCUUGGGCAUAGGCGUUUCUUCUUCUGUUAAUUUCAAUCAUGACUUUUGGUUGACAUUCCACAUAACAAUUACUUAUUCACAUAAGCUAAGAUUACCAAGCCAUGUUUGAAAAUUGGGCCGGCAUUCCACGUUCCAAAACAUUUAAUGUCAUUCAUGAUAUACAACCGAUUACACUUAAGAUUUUCUUGUCGUAUUGUUAGUUUCACCAAACAUUCAACCCGCUCGAAAAGAUUCAACGAUCUGUAAUACAUUUUUCCUUUAUACAUAUCUAAUACCAUCUACGCAAGCUCAUACUGUAACAAAUGGGCCCACCGAUUGCUCCAUUUUUGUUUUUGGCGCAACCAUUUUACAAAGAAUAUUGUCCAAUUAUUUCACCAAAAAGAAGAACAUGGAACAAUUAAAUUGUAAUAAUAAUCUAAUGAAGAACUUCUCAAACUAAUUCCUAUGUCCCACGAGACGAGAAACCCUACCCUUUUUUAUUAUUUUUUUAAUCUUUUUCUUUGCGAUCCUUUUAGCUUUAAUCAAAAGGUAAUUCGCCAGCUAAUCAAAUCAAGAAAUAAAAUACAGUAUUUUUCGCAUUAAGCAUAAUGGGGGAAUCAGAACCUCAAAACAAUCACAUACGUUUCAAUUUUAGGGAGACUUUGGAAAAACCCAAAGGAGAGAGAAAUUUUUUAAAAGAAGUCAAAAUGGACAAAAUUGCCCUUAUUUAUUUUUGGAUUUCUUAAUGAAUCCUUUACAUUUGCAUGUCUUUGAUUUGAAAGUCGAGAGGUUUUUCUGUCUUUUUUGAAAAAGCUUUGGCUUUUUCCAAAAGUGAAAGUUUUUUUAUGGCUAAAACCUAAAUUUACUUCAAUUUUAUAAUAGCAAAUAUGGUUUAAACAUCGAAUUAUAUAAUAUUCUUUUAGUUCAGCCCAUGAGCUCCAUACGUCGCACGUGGGAAGGGUCAAGUCUUAUGCAUGAAGAUUGAGAAGGACGGUUACGUCACGUGCAUAGUGUGCAUGCAUCAUAUUUGAAGCCUCCAUCACCGCCGUCGUUUCAGCAUGUCGCGGCAACCUACGAGCCGUUAGAUUUUGGAUACAGCCUGGUCGACAUUGCAAUUCAGUGGUCCAGCCCUCACGCGCCAUUUCAUGCUCCCGGAAAGUUAUUAUAACAUUUCGUAUAGAACCCCCGACGAAAUGUUAUUAAUUAUCAUAAUCUAGUAUUAGUAUUUUGGUAAAUGAAUACCAAGAAAAACACUUGGACCAAUUACAAAGUUACAAGACUAUCGAAAGUGAUCAAAAUCCACAAUCAACAAGAAAACCAACCAUGAAAAAGAAAGAAUGUUAUUAUCAUGAAUGUCAAAACAAUGUAAUUUUUUUAAUAACGAUAAUUAGACCUCGAGUAUAGGGAUAAACGUGAUUAUAAUUAAAUAAUAACUCUUCAAUUUCGGUUAUAAUUUUAGUAGGAUUUAUUGAUUCCAUUAUAUAACUUAACUACUUGCACAAAAGGCAAAAGCUUUUCAUAUUAAGGACCACAUUUCUACUUCAAACAAAAAAACAAGGACCCCAUUUCCACCAUUUAAAAAUUUGAGGGUCAUGCCAAAUACUAAAAUUUAGCAGAAUUCAAUUGUUACUUCAAAGACUCAAAUAUGUCACACUUUGAUAUGUCAUCGUCAACAUAUGGCACACUUUGGAUAAGGGUGAAUUCUAUGUUUGGUUAUCAGCACCCAUUGGAUUCUAACAAUAUCCAUCUUUCCAUAACUAUAAUCUAAGUUUAAAAGCAAAUAUUUAUUUAAGAUAAUGCUUUCUUCCUUUUAUGCAAAGAGAUACUCCUCCUUUAUGCGAAUUACAAUUUAACACACAUAUGUAAAAAUAAUUCAUAAAAAACACAAAAAGAAAAUCUUCUGCGCGUAUGUCACAUUGCUAUUAGUAGGAAUGUAAGAACUCUUACUUACAUGGUAAAUACGAGGGAAGGGGAAGCUAUACUGUAUAUGCUUUGACAUUUGUUUGCAUGAGUACACAAAAUGGUCGAUUAGGUUUGAGAAGAAGAGGAAGAAGAAUAAGCACAUGGGAGAGUGACAUGUUCACCCAUUUAUGAUUCUAUUGGACCAAACAUACAUAGCUGUAUAUGAUUCUUUUUCCUUUUUUUCUUUAUUCGGAUUCGGCUAUAUAGCCUGUAUGAAUCUGAGAACAAAGAACCACCCCCCCACAAAAGUAAGAUUUACAAUAGAAAGUUUACAGGGCUAAGGAACCGCGUACACACUGUAUCUACACCCACUGGCCAAUGCAUGACCUCCACGUGGCUCCUCAGCAAUAGAGCAGCUGUAUAUAUAACCACUCAGAGUCUUCCAGUUUCUGUCACAACACAAAAGCAGUCUUCUUCUUGCACUGUAAACUCUCACAAAGUUCUCAUUUUUCCUUAAAGAAGAAGAAAAAAAGGGUCCUCCACAUCUACAGCCAUGCCGAGUGAAGGAACAGCAAACUUCAUAGACAUCCUCAUAGCCAUCCUCUUGCCUCCUCUUGGCGUCUUCCUCAAGUUUGGCUGCCAUGUUAGUAUCUUUUAAAACUUAAUUUGGAGCUCAUUAACUUAUUUAAUAUGUGUUUGUGUGUGUUUAUAGAACUUAAUUCUGAUGUAAUUGAUAUGGUUCUUAUAAUUAUAUUUGCUGAAUUUGUGAUUUUCAGGUUGAAUUCUGGAUCUGUCUCUUGCUGACUAUUUUUGGUUACAUCCCUGGGAUUAUCUAUGCUGUCUAUGCCAUAACUAAAUGAGACUUCAAUUUCUGUAAGAACCCACAUCUCUGUUUCACUGAAAAUUUUAUCUUCUGUUUGAUAUUUCAAUACAACAAAGAAAAGAGGGAGUUUUCCCAAAGUUAGGAAGGGGAAGGGAACGGGGGUUUUUCUUACGCACACUGUAAAUAUGUCUGUAAGUUACGGCUAUUUUUCACUGUGCUAAAACAUAAAAAAGAGAGGAGUACUUUAAACUGCAUGAUUAAGCAAAAAUACCUUUCAUUGGGUCAGCAGGCCAGCUAUGAUUUAACAGGAGAAAAUGGGUAGCUGUUGGUCCACAUGACAGGGCCUGCACUAAAUUCAUGCCAUCAUCGUUCUCAUACUUUUACUUUUCUUGUUUGACAGGUACGUAGAGAUGUGAAGGGCACAUAUGUCUUUUGGUUUCUGAAUUAUGGGAUUGUUUUCAACGGUUUGAUGGAUAGUACUUUAUCUGGUGUAUCCAGAUGGACGGUUGAUACAUCAUGUAGUGUGGUUUUGUCCAUUGUUCAUUUAUUUUUCUUUUCUUCCUUUUGAUUUUAUCCUCCUUCCACCUCCUUAUCAAUCUGUUGUAAAGGGUGGAUGGUAGGUCUGGUGAUUCAUGUCCCUUAAAACAUUAGUUAUUUAUUUUUCAAUGUGACUUGUGUUCUAAUCCCACCCUAUCGGGUUUGGAGGUAUCAGUGGCUUUUUGACUGCUUCAUAUUUUAUUAUAUGUAACUUUAUUAUUAAGCAAAGGGAACAUCAGAACAACCCCUCCAAUCAUAAUCAGGCCACAUAUUCCUUCUUCCAUAUAGAAUUACCAUAUUGGGUUUUAAUAUAUUUUAUAAAAUUUGAUUAGAAAGUCUCAUAUUGGGUUACUUACUUUGGUUCUGUUCAAGAGAGGAAAAGAAAAAUUGUUCAUCCGCAUGACGUGACAUCUCAUGUCUGCUGUCUUGUACAUUUGUAGAAAAAAACAACGAAGGAAGCUACCUUGCAUUGCAUCCAAUCCAAGCACUUUAAUUAGGGCAGAACAAUACGGAAGCUCAAACCUGAGGUGUUUAAUUACCUUUACUAACGGGGUUGGGAUUUUGAUAAAAGAGCGAUAGUAUUUUGUUGAUAAGAACUAAUGGGGUUGAGAUAUAAAAGCUAUUUUAUGCUCAAAUACAAAAGCUCUUAGUUUAUUUGUCACUUUCUUUGGUCAAUAAUAGUAUUUGUUCUACAAUUUUCUAUUGGAUUUUCAAAGACUGUGACCAACUGUACUUUUGCCGUGAUGUGGAAACAAAAUAGAAAAGAAAAGGCAGAAGCACAGAUGGUGUCUAAUCUACGUGGUUGCGUAUGAACCAAGUUAAAAUAUAGAAGUGAGAAUCCAUGAAAAGUUCAAGCCAACUCUCUUAACGUAUCCAAAUUGAUAACCCUUUAUGAUAUUCAAUUCCACAUUCACAUGAACAAAUCAUCAAGAUAAGAUCACGAGCAGCAAAAACAACAAUAUUUACCAGUUUAAAGGGAGAAGCAGAUAAUAAGAGGCAGGUCUAAAAGCUUUGUACAUCCACAUUAUUUCCAUUACAAAACUACAAAUUCCAGUGAACUUUUCAACUAAAUUUUAAUGCAAUAUAUAAACACAUACCAUCUGAGAAACGGGGUUCUUUUUCAGUUCGAAAAAGAUUCUCAAAAUUGCAUUUUGUAGAGAAAAAGACAUUGUCCCAAACAUAAGACUUACAGGUAUAUUUCAUCACAUAAAAACAGUCCAUAAUUCUUUCUUUUUUUUUGGUAGAUUUAUAUAUUGGUAAAUGGUAAAUAAUUAUUCUUUUGCAGCUUACUAAAUUUCUUAGGGUAUUCUAGUAGAAGGAAAAUCAAUGUCUAGCGAAAAACAGUAGGAGAAAUCAUUCAAUCAACAUAGUUUUACCCGCAAUUGGUGACGGUUUAAGGACCUAUAGUGACGAAGUUUUAGCCCCAUUAGACAAAAUUGUGUUUAGCAGCGGUUUUUUGGGUCGCUAACCGUAGGUAAAAGGUCUUUCAGCGACGAUACAUGUAACCGCCGCUAAAAGUCGUAACUACUUUAAAUUCGCCUCCCUUUCCUGUCAUCUCAAUUGGAGCACAAAUUUACAAAAUAGUCUCUCUGAAAACGAUUACCAGUUAAAAAAAUAUUUUUAUGAUCACCCAGUAUGGAGCUACUUUAGUUUACAUCAACUAAUACACAGUAGAUAUACAGUUGUACACUUAAUCCAGAAUACAAUCAAACAAUUAGAAGCCCGCAUUGGCAACCCCUGCACUUGAAGAGUGAUUUCAACUUUUAUCUCAUCCUUUGAAUUGCCACUCCCUGCGACACAUGGGGCAAUGUGCCUGAGGAGUCUGUGAAUUUACCCAUUUUAAGAUGCAAUGAAGAUGGAAAGCAUGGUUGCAUGCACCCCAAACUGCAAGAUAAAAGAAUAAUUUAGAAAAUUAUCAAGCUGUGCAAAAGAUGAACCCAAUAAUUAAUAUCAAAUGAAAAUUAUAAACAAAGAAACACAAAUCAGACUGCUAAUGCAAACGAUGAAAUGUCUGAAUCUAGUCAGUCAAUGCACAAAGUAAGAAAGGAUUUCCCACCUUAAAUGCAUGCAUUGUAAGCAAUUUGGUUGGCCUUCUUGAUAAUAGAAGAAGAAUAUAGGGUUUGACUGUUAGUUUGGUAGAUACCAUGGCAGCCGUGCAUUGCAAACCAUGUGUAAAAUGAUGUUCUAAGAUGUCGGCGGAAGAUCUUCUGUUAGAUAUUUGAAUCAUAUUUGGGUAGUUCAUUGAAGAAAAAGAGAGAAAAUCCAAAUGCCAAUGCUUGUAAAUUAACAAUGAUCUGUAUAUUCCAUACUACUGUGAAACAAAGCAUUGAUAUGAAUUGAUGUCAUUAUAUAUGAAUGAGUAGCAAGAACCGCACAAAUCAGAAUAGAAAAAUGUGAAAAAAGGUAUAACCAAAUGCGUAAAGAGACAACAUGUGCUUCACUACUCAAACAUCAUAAGUUCAUAGGUCAAUCUGAAACUCUAUUGCAGACUUAGAUCUUUAAUAAUAGGAGAGGCAACAGAAUUUGGUGAAAGAUGAAAUAUUAUGCAAGGCAUCAAGCAAAUAAUGUUAGCUACUUACUUAGUGGGCAAUCAUCCCCGGGGAGCUUACAAUCAGGACAACACCCAUCAAAUGCCAUCCUGCAAAUCCCACAUGUUUCAUCUUGUGCAUCCCAUGUCCAUGAAGCGACAGCAUGCCACCUGCAGGUUGAAAAGGAUAAGAACUAGAGCUCCAAGAGUACAUCAUUGUUAAAUUUAUAAACAUUCACAAGUGCAACAAUUGAUUAAUGAAAAUAACAGAUAGAGAAGAGAUAAAGAGGACAUACUCUGUUUGAAAAGCCCAUCAGAUAUUCGAAAAGAGAGUCAGUUAAGAGAAAACUGUUUCUAUAAAACGUGUGCAAUACAUUUCACAACAAACACGUUUCAAGUAAAGGCAAAUUAAUUAGCAAACAAGAUCAUGUAAAAUUUUCAAGCCGAUCAACAAUUAGUAAUUCUUGAAGAAGCCAAAUCAUAUGAAUUUGAUACCAUCAAACUAAAAUUCAUUCUACCAGGAUUAAAUAAAUGCAACAAAGUUAACACCAUAGAAGUGAAAGAAAAGGAAAAUAUAAACGAUUGUUAUAAAUAGUAUAAAGGUAGUGCAUUUAAAAGAAAGGAACUGAAAACACAUUGACAAGGAUACGCAAGAUGUUGACUUUCAUCCUCUUCUCCUGCAACUACAAAAUCCCAAACCAUACAUUUCAGAGAAGUGAAUGAUAAUAGAAUCUCUAGUGAAUGAUAAUAGAAUCUCUUUGGUUCCAUCAGUUUUGAGAAGAUACACACUCAGGAAACAAAAUUCAGAACCCUAUUGAUUUCAGCAAUAUUCAUGGCAAACUGUUAAAAAUAACUGCUGCUUGUAAUUCAUGGCAAACCAAUAUUGAUUUCAGCAAAUUUUCCAGCGACCAAAGUUUGGUGCUUUCCAUCAUAUUCAAGAAAUAUAUUUUAUAUGAAAUCCUCGAAACUUCCAAACCAAACUAUAAAUAAGCCUAUCCUUUAACUUAUAAAAAAAGAGGCAUUGGGGGAAAAAAAAACACUUGUAGCAGUGGGUUGAACUAUCCUUAUUGGUUGUAUGGCCAGAGUUGUCAUCAUAACGCCAAUAGGAUUUUGCUCAAGUUCUGCAUUACUUCGAAGACCAGUGUCUAACAUAAAGCUUACAUCGCUGUCUUUCCAGGUCUCUGUCUUCCUAAAAUACCCUAGAAUUUUCUCACUAAUAAUCCUUAAAAACCCAAAUAAUAAAAUCAAGAAUCAGCACUAAUUAUACCAAAUUCAACUCAAAAUCAAUCGCUAAAAUCACUCAAACACAUCAUAUUAGACCAUAGAAAAUAAAUCGAAGUUUUCAUCCUGCGACAUCUAGAGAAGAGCAGCCAUAGAGCGUACCUAGGGCAGAAUCGGAGCCACGGAAGAAGGCGAACCCUAGUCUUCGUCGUUCGUUCGAAACCGACGUCUGAGGUUGGUUUCCAGAGUCCGGGCAGCUUUGGGCUUGGAUUCAAGACGCCGUGUUCCUGACUGACACUAAGCCCACCAAACCAAACUAGGGCUACGAAUUUGAGCAUAAUUGGAAUAGACAUAAUGCAGGGUUUUUUGGGCCUCCAAAUGUUUGACUAUAUUUGUGACUUCAAGCCCAUUAAAAAAAGCCCAAAUUGUUAAUUUUAAUGAUUUUUAUUUAUUUAUAUAUUCGUCAUUGUGAAUUUAUACGUUUAGAUGGAAUGAGUGUGAUUUGCACGUUAAAAUGAGUAUAUUUCAUUUCAAAUAAGAAGCCAAACAUUAUAUUAAUAGAGGUUAAAAUAUCGUGUAAAUAGCUUGUAGCUCAAGUGAUUAAGAACAUUUACUCUUGCAUAUGAGGUCUUAACUUCAAUUUCCACCUCUCCAAUAUCGUUUGUAUCAACAAAAAAAAUAUAAAAAAAAUUAAAUACCGUAGUUAUUCUCUAUGCAACAUCCCUACACUUCAAUCAAGAAAAGUUUCUGUAUGUUAGACAUUCGUCAUGUUCAUCGCAAGAUGAAAUUUCAAAUAGGUCAUUGGAUUUGGAUUGGUGGGCGCUGGUGACCAUUAGGAGGAGGGAUGGUUGGCUAAUCUUGGCCGGAGUCAUGGAAUGAGAGAAGCGAGGUAUAUAGGGGAGACAAGAAAUAGAAAUAUUAUCAGCUACUCUCCUUAAUCAAGUCUAAUUCCUGAUUUCUUAGGUAUUAAAUUAUGAAUUUUAAUGUGAAACUCACAUAACUUUUAAUUCCUCAUGUACUAACUAAUAAACACGUGAAAAAUUAGGAACUAAAAUAAUUCCAAUGCUCAUAGCACACCAUAAAUUUCAAAUAGGUCAUUGCAUUUUUGGAGUGCUCGGUGAGCAUUAGGAGGAGGGAUGGAUGGCCGGUCUUGGGCGGUUUGAGAGUCUUGUUCUCGAGUCGAGAGGCUUUUUUUAAAUGCAAGAAAAAUUAAGAAUAGAAAUAAUUUUGAUACAUACCUACUCUACCUAAGUAGCACACCAUAAAUAUGGUGAAAGUAAAAUUAGAAAUAUAAACUGUCCAGAUAUAGUAUUAUUAAUUGUUAUUAGGGCAUGGGUCAAGAAAAUAGAAGCAUGACCAAAAAGAGGCAGAAUAAUAAAAAGAAAAAUCCUAAACAAUAAUGGACUGGAUUACCUUAUAAAUAAUAAUGACCAAAGAUAUAAUAUAGAUUGAAUGAACCACAUCAACAUCUGUGUUGUAAUGCAUGUAUGUAUGAGAAUUAACAGACAAUUACUUCCAUAUAAACCCAAGGGUGGAUAAGAAGUCCCAUGAAUUAAAAAAUAAUAAUAAAUAGAAAAAAAAACACACACAUAAAACAUCCACCAAACUCAAUUUACUAAAUUUUCUGCAUCAUAUUACAACUUUUUUUAUUUUUGCUAAUAAAAAUCUACCGAGACAUACCAAAAUGUUCUAUAUUGAAGUUCAUAUCUCCUGCUUUGUAAGAGCAUUAAAUUUCUAUUUAGGAUGUAAUCUUCUAGAAUUGGUUAGGUAGCCCUUCUGCUGCUAUAUAAUACCCCAGGCUGUUUGGGGCUAAUCCAUCUUCUUCUUCUUCCCUAGUUUGCAAUUUCUUUCUCUCUCUCUCUCUCUCUCUCUCUCUCUCUCUCUCUCUCCAUUUUUUUUUUCUUCCUUUUGAGCCAUGACUAGAAAGAAGGUCAAGUUGGCCUACAUAGCUAAUGACUCAACCAGAAAAGCCACUUUCAAAAAAAGGAAGAGGGGCUUGAUAAAAAAGAUAAGUGAACUGAGCACACUCUGUGACGUUCCAGCGUGUGCCCUAAUCUAUAGCCAGUAUGAGUCUCUCCCUGAUAUCUGGCCAUCUCCUUCCGGCGUGCAGCGUGUUAUCGCGCAAUUCAGAAAUAUGCCGGAGAUGGAACAAGGGCGGAAGAUGUUCAACCAGGAGACCUUUCUCAGGCAGCGGAUCGUGAAGUCCCACGAACAGCUCAAGAGGCUGAGGAAAGAGAACAGAGAAAAGGAGGUGUCGAGGGUGAUGUUCCAGACCCUCACUGGUAGGCCUCUUCAGGGACUGAACAUGAUCGACCUGAACGACCUAGGAUGGCUAAUCGACCAGAAUGUGAAGGAGCUUGGUGAGAAGAUCAAGAGCAAGAGAGAGGAGCUGCUGGCUCAGAGAAAUGAAGUCACAAUGGCAGCACCAAAUGCAGCAGCUUUGCCUGCUAGAGCUGGAGACCAUGGCAUGGACCUGAACAUGCAGCAGCCAGCAAUGGAGAACACCAUGCAGAGGCCUCCAUGGUUCUCAGAUGUGAUGACCCCGCAGGAGCCUAUGGGGUCUGGUGCUGCUGGUGGCGAUGAGGUGUUGCCCUUCGGAGAUCAGAAUCAUCCUGCCUUUUGGCAUAACAGUCCCUUUUUUCAUUGAACUCUAUCUGGUGUUUGUUUAGUUUUUGUUGUUUUUUUUAAGUGAUUUUCUUUUAUGGAUGUUUUGUUUUGAUGGUGCUAGUCUCCAUCUCAAACCACUGCAGGUUUCGUUUCUUAAUUUCUUGAAUUUAAAUUUAUGUACCCAAAAGUUUAUAUAAACAGUAGUUCAGUUGUUUGGUUUUCUCAAUCGUAUUCUUUGAGGGCUUAUAUUCUCUGAUGUAUUUGAGUACUUUAUUAGAUCUUUUUAAUAUAUCCUUUUGAAUUUAAGAUUUGUUGCUAUGUUAUUGAGAACCAACCAACCAAAGCAAGAAUGAUUAACAAAGAAAGGUCAAUGGAGUUGGAUAUGUUUAUCAGAAAGUUUUACAUUUCAUAGAUCGCAAUAUUAUGUAGUUCUUAUCUUCACUAAAAAUUACUCCUACACGUCCAACAAGAGUUGAAAGAUAAUCUCAUAUAACAUUUGAAGACAAACUUUUGUACCAUUGGUUAACUGUAAUUUUAUAGAUUGAAAACAUAUCAAAGAAAACUAUCCAAAAGAAAAUUACAAUUAAAAUCCUUUUGGUUAUUGUUAGAAGAAAUACAUAUUCAAUUAUAAAACAAAAAGAAGGAUCAAGCUACUUAUAGUACGAAAGAGUUUUAUUAAUGAGAACGAUAUACAUGUAAGUUAAUAACAAUAAAAACGAUGUCAAUUUGCCAUAUAUAGAACCUUAAUAAUGACACAACCAUUCAAUUUAUUAUCCGAUGCAUAUACUAUGUACAUACAUAGGGUAGGUAUACCUACCAUAUAUUUGUACCCAAAGUUACAUAUAUAUGGUAGGUAUACAUAUCGUAAUCUAUCGUUCUCGUAUUGUGGCAGUUGUUCAUAAAUCGUCUCUUAUUACUUAAAAGUAUAUAUUCUCUUAAAGUUCAUGUGUAUAUAUAUAUCAUGAGGCACAUCAUUUAAUUUAUUAUCUGAUGUGGAGACUACCUAUAUUGAUAUGAAUUCGGACCCUAGACCUAUCAUGAAUCAUGGACCAUAUGUAUUCAUCUUUUCACCUAGCUAACAAGAGGUUUUGUGUUCGGGCUAUAAGAAAUUAAAAUUCCUCAAAUGGGAAGUGGGAUUUUUUCCACUUUUGUAGAUAUUAAUCAAGAACAACUUUGAAGUGCAAGAAUCUCGAACUAUUCUCUAUGCACUUUGCAAAAUGUAAAGAAGGCUCUGCUGACAAAUAUCUGUGAACUUUAAACAAUCAAUGUCCAAACAAAGCACAAAGAACCCGUCAAAAGGUACUUACAAGGGAUCUUAGAAAAGUUAAACUUCACAGAAUUAUGUCUCGAAUAUGGACGUUUAGUUGAAGGAGAGCCAUUCAGAGGGAGAGAAAAGUGGAAGACAGGAGAAAAGUACCCUCGAGCACUGAUAUAAAUUAGUACAACCAGAAGUGCCACCUAGUUCACCAAAUCAGGCAGAGGUUCAGCAUCUUUAAUAUUAAUAAACUAUUUUGAUUUAAAACAAGUUGCGCCAAGUUGUCUGAUUAGCGGAUUCUAGUUUUGAUUCAAUGCUACGGGGUAAAGAUUUGUUAAUAGACAUACAGCAUGCAUAACAUGCUUUGUUUCUGGUUCAAAUUGAUUUUAUGUUUCCUAUUACUUUGGAGAUUCGGUCUGGUAUUUUGUUCUCUACCAUUGCUUUUUAUUUCUGCUAGCUGUACUUACUCUCUGUGGAGAAACACUAUGCCUAGCUAGAUAUGCAUGUUGUACUAGGCUUUAAAAACUAUGUAAAACAAAAUGCUUAAAAGAUUACUGAGAACAAAAACAUGUAUCAUGUUUUGUACUGAAAACACUGCAUAAUAUAUUUUUUUGUAGAUUUAUAUUGUGGUAAAGGGAAACUAAUUAUUCUUUCGCAGUUUACUAAAAAGGUUGGGGUAUUCUAGAAGAAGAAAAAUAAAAAUUUAGUGAAAAACAGGAGAGAGAAAUUCAAUCAGCAUAUUGUUGCUAAUUUGGUAAUAAAUGACGGUUUUUAAGUUUUUGCAACGACUAGUGACGGUUUGUUGACCUUUCGUGACGAAAAUUUAUAUAAAUUGUGUUUAGCAAUGGAUUAUUUCGCCGCUAGCCGUAGGUGAAAACACUAAAUGCGACGAUAUGCUUGUCCGCCUUUCAAUUUGCGUCUUAUCCUCGUAUUUUAAUUGGUGCAAAAUUCUACAAAACAUAAAUACCACAUCUUAAAAGCACUACCGCUAAAUUUAUUAUUAUUAUUAUCACUGAGAUCCCUAUCAAUCCGAAUAAACAAACAAUUGGUUUAUAGAGAAUACAAUAAAUCAUUCAAAAGUGAAACUUUGAGCUACUUCACAGUUUACAUCAACCAAAACACAACAGACAGACAAGGGAUAUAUAAACCAUAUACAAUCAAACAAUUGCAAGCAUGCAUUGGCAACCACUGCACUUGAAGAGGGAGAGAGCAAACAAGUUUACUAAAUGUGAUUCUAGUUUUUCUCUCAUCCUUUGAAUUGCGACUCCCUGCUAUGGGGCAAUGUGACUGAGAAGUCUACACAUUUUAUGAUGCAAUGACGAUGGAACGCAUGGUUGCAUGCUUGAUGCACCCCAAACUGCAAGAUAAAAGAAUAGUUUAGUGACUUAUCAUCAAGCAUCAAGUUGUGCAAACAAUGAACGAAAUAAGUUAUAUCCAAUAAAAACUACAGACUAGAAAAACACAAAUUAGACUGCAAAUGCAAAAUGUGAAAUGUCGGAAUCUAGUCGGAUCAAUGCACAAUAUAAUAAAGGCUUUCGCACUGUAAGAAAUUUGGUUGGCCUAUUUGGCCUAUUUGAAGAAGCACAAUGUAAGAAUUUCAAGCUGAUCAACAAUUAGUAGUUCUUGAAGCAAAAUCAUAUUCAUUCAAUACCAUCAAGUUGAAAUUCAUUCUACUGUGCUUCAAUGCCACAAAGUUAACACCAUAGAAGCCCUCCUCUUUACCAAAAAGAAAAAAAAAAGUUAACACAAUAGAAGUGAAAGAAAAGGAAAAGUAGCGCAUUUAAAAGAGAGGAACCAAAUAACACAGCGAGAAGGAUACGCAAAGGCUGUCACUCAUCUUCUUCUCCUGCAACUGCAAAACCCAAAACCCUUCAUUUCAGAGAAGUUUAUGAUAAUAGACUCUGUUCGAUUCCAUGGGUUUUGACAUUUGGCUUAUGAUUUUAAUGUGGAACCACAUAAUUUUUAAGUGGAGCAAUUCCGAUAGACAUUCCACGUAAGCAGCCCGCCAUACAUGAGGCAAAAGUAAAAUUAGAAAUAUAAACUGUCAAGAUAUAGUACAUCUCAGCAUUUAGUCAUUCGAAGGUCUCUUUUAUUAGAGAAUAGUUUGAGAUUCUUGCACUUCAAAAUUGUUCUUGAUUAAUAUCUACAAAAGUGGAAAAAAUCCCACUUCCCAUUUGAGGAAUUUUAAUUUCUUAUAGCCCUAACACAAAACCUCUUAUUAGCCAGGUGAAAAGAUGAAUAAAAAACUUAUUAUUAAGUUUACUGAGUAAUAAUACAUAUGGUCCAGGAUUCAUGAUAGGUCUUUGAAUUCGUAUCAAUAUAGGUAGUCUCCACAUCAGAUAAUAAAUUAAACGAUGUGCCUCAUGAGUAGGUUACUAUAUAUAUGAACUUUAAGAGAAUAUAUACUCUUAAGUAAUAAGAGACGAUUUAUGAACAACUUCCACAAGACGAGAACGAUAGACUACGAUAUGCAUACCUACCAUAUGUAUGUAACGUUGGGUACAAAUAUAUGGUAGGCAUACCUAUCCUAUGUAUGUACAUAGUAUAUGCAUUGGAUAAUAAAUUGAAAGGUUGUCUCAUUAUUAAGGUUCUAUAUAUGGCAAAUUGACAUCGUCUAUUGUUAUUAACUUACAUGUAUAUUGUUCUUACGUACGUAAACUCUUAUAACCUACAUGAAUAUCCUUCAUAACCUAUAUCUAUAUCGUUCCUACGUAUGUCAACUCUUAUAACCUAUAUGAAUAUCCUUCAUAUCUACGUAACUCAUUAAUAAAACUCCUUCGUACUAUAAGACCAUCAAUUAUAGCUUCAUCCUUCCUUUUGUUUUAUAAUUGAACAUGUGUUUCUUCUAACAAUAACCAAAAGGAUUUUAAUUGUAGUUUUAAUAGCAGAAAAAAUGUAUUCUCUACUUUAUAUAUUGAUAUAUCGUUUAUUAUAUUAAUUGUUAGGACGUGACUCAACAAAAUAGAUGCACGACAGAAAAGAGACAGAGAAACAAAAAAAAUCUAAACAAUAAUGGGCUCAAUUACCUUAUAAGUGAUAAUUACCAAGGAUAGAAAGAAAUAUCGAUCUUUUAAUCAUUUGAAUGAGCCACAACAAAAUCUGUGUUUUAAUGCAUGUAUGUAUGCUAAUUUAACAGACAAGCUUCCAUAUAAAACCAAGGGUGGAUAAGAAGUCCCAUGAAUUCCAAAAAAAUAAAAAGGAAGAUAUUACAUAGGCAUCCACCCAACUCAUAGUACUAAAUUUUCUGCAUCAUAUUUACAACUUUAUUUGUGCUAAUAAAAUUGCCUACCCGAGAUUUCAUAUUUAUCCUACCUAUAAAACAAUCUUAAUUACCAUUUAUGUGAAAACCACAUUCCCCUCACACAUGGACAACAAAUCUUCUUGUAUUGACUCUUCCAUUGUAAGCCGUCAUAAAUUUAGCAAUGUACUAAUAUACCAAAAUGGUCUAUAUUGAUUUUCAUAUCUCCUGCAUUGUAAGAGCAAUAAAUUUCUAUCUAGGAUGUAAUCUUCUAGAAUUGGUUAGGUAGCCCUUGCUGCUCCUAUAUAUAUCGCAGGCUGUUUGGGGCAAGCAAACCCACUAAAGCUACUAAGGCUUUUCCUUCUUCUUCCCUAGUUUGCAAUUGUUUUUCCUCUCAAUUUUUUCUCUUUCAGCCAUGACUAGAAAGAAGGUCAGCCUGACCUACAUCACUAAUGACUCAGCUAGAAAAGCCACAUUCAAGAAAAGGAAGAAGGGUUUGAUGAAGAAGGCGAAUGAACUUAGCACCCUUUGUGAUAUUCAAGCAUGUGUUAUUAUUUAUAGCCAGUAUGAAUCUCACCCUGAAGUUUGGCCAUCCCCUUUGGGAGUGCAACGCAUUGUCUCACAAUUCAGGAGCCUGCCAGAGAUGGACCAGAGCAAAAAGAUGGUCAACCAGGAGACCUUUCUGAGGCAGAGGAUUGUGAAGGCCAACGAGCAGCUGAAGAAGCUGAGGAAGGAGAAUCGGGAGAAGGAGAUGUCGAGGGUCAUGUUUCAGAGCCUGACUGGUAAGCCUCUGCAGGGACUGACCAUGAUUGAUCUGAACGACCUCGGGUGGCUCAUUGACCAGAACUUGAAGGAGCUGGUUGAUAAGAUCAAGACCCGGAAGGAGGAGCUGGCUCAGAGAAAUCCAGUCCCAGUCCCACCAACUCCAGCAGCUGUGCCUGCAGCUGGAGACCAUGCCCUGAACCUGAACAUGCACGCAACAAUGGAGAGACAAGCUUUCGGGCUUAGCAACAUGGGCAACACCAUGCAGAGGCCUUCAUGGUUCACAGACAUGAUGAACCCUAAUGAGCAAAUGGGGUUUGGUGCUGUGGCUGAGGUUCUGCCCUUUGGGGAUCAAUACCAUCAUGGUCAUGGUCUUUGGUCUAACAAUCCUUUUUUUCCUUGAGAUAUCUAGCGUUUGUUUCUUUGGUGUUUUUUAAGUGAUUUGGUGCACGUGUUGAUGGUUUUAGUCUUAAACCACAGGAGGUUGUGUAUCUUUCUUUAAUCUUAUGUAAUAAAAAGUUUAGUGACCAGUAGUUGUUGGGUUUGUUCGUAUUCUUCGAGGGCUUAUUAUCUGAUGUAUUUGAGUAUUAUUAGUCUUUUUAAUAUCCAUGGAAAUAUAAUCUAUAUAAUAUAUAUAAACAUCCAUGGGAUGAGAGACGGGUUGCAUGUAAGAAAUUUUUUUAUUAGUAUAACCAUAAUCGACGAUCAUAUUGUACAAAAGACUUUUAUCGAUAACUAAUUUAGGUAUGUAUGAAGGAUAUACAUGCAUGUUAAUAACAACAGACAAGAUGUCAAUUUGCCAUUUAUAGGAUCUUAACAAUGAGACAACCAUUCAAUUUGCACUGAACGAUACGUACAUAUAGCAGGUACACCUACCAUAUAUUUGCACUGAACGAUACGUACAUAUGGUAGGUACACCCACCAUACACCUGUACUUAGCGGAACGAAACGUAGUCUUACAAACCAUGGACCCUAAACCCUAAUGGUACACCUACCAUUUUACUGUCAUAUUACACAGUAAAAUGACAAUACUUUUUAUCAUUCAUCUUUCACCUAGCAAUUGUCCACAAUGGUGAUAGAGAGAGUCAUAGACAUCGAUGUUUUUUAUCUGUGGAUGGCUACAAAACUAAUUAAUGACCAGAGGUUGUUUUAGGCUAUACGAAACUAAAAUUCCUAAAAUUGGAAGUGGGAUUUUUUCCACUUUGUAUAUGUUAGCUAAGAACGACUUUGAAAUGCAAGAAUUUUAAACUAUCCUCUACAAUGCACUUUGAAAAAAAUGCAAAGAAGACUCUGCUGACUAAUAACUAUGUCUCAUAAUCAUAAAUCAGAUGCAAUCAAAUAAUCAUAAACUCCCUUUCAAUUAAAUAAGAAACUCAUAAAUCAUCAUCAAUUGGAAAAUUGAGUUUAAGACUUACUUGAAGAUUGGAAAUUUGAAAAAUAAUAGUCGAGUUCGCGUCGGCAGGACCCCGGCGGCAGGUGGUUGGGUGGGAAUUGGGGGUUAGGGUUUGAAGAUUUUGGCUGAGGAUUUGGGGUUUUGGGGUUUGGUGGGGGUGUGUUUUUCAGAGUCGCAUUGGGGGAGUUCCGUUCUUUCUUUUUGUUUUUUGGUAUGACCUGGCUCAAAACGGUGUCGUUUGGACCAGGUCAUUAAAAAAUAAAAUAAAACACACCUGGACAUAAAAGUGGAGAAAUAAUCCCCUGAAUACUGCUAAAUAGUAAAUAGCCACACCAAACGACAUGAAAAUUAGUGGCAAUCUUCACUCACUUUUAGUACACCAAAUGAGGCUUAGGUUAAACAUCUUUAAUGUUAAUUAAUCAACUAUUAACCAACUUGACACUAGUUUUUAUUUAUAUAAUAUAAACGAUAUUGAAAAUGAAGGGAAUCAAAACUAACACUUCAGAUGCAUGAAUAAAUUCUCUUGAGUUACAAGCCCCUCACAACUUGAAACUAAUUUUGAUUCAAAACAAGUUUCACCAAUUGUUUCAUAGGAUUCUAAUUUUGACUCGAUGCCACAGUGAUAAAAUAUUUAUUAAUAUCACACUCAACAUGCAUAACAUGCUAUGUUUUGUUUUUUGGACAGAGCAUAACAUGCUAUGUUUCUGAUUCAAAUUGAUCUCAAUUUUUUGUCUCCUAUUUGUUUGGAAGGUUGGUCUGGUAUUUUGUUCUCUACCACUGCUUUUAUCUCUGCUAGCUGUACAGUUCGUGGAACUGUGUUAGAUUCCACUGCUUUGGAUUUCAAUCAAUAUCUCACUUGAAUUAAGACGCUAGAGUUCGGUUUUCAUCCUUCCUCCCUCUAAAGAUCUUUAGAGAUAUUUCUUGUAUAUGACCAUUGUACGGAAUCAUUUUUCAAGCCUGGGCGUCCUUUGUCCCAAAAGAACUCGAGGGGACAGCAACUUUAGUAUUAUAUAGUUGUUCUGAAACUACCUGAAAGAAUACUAUGUCAUGGGAAUGUUGUGGUUGAGGGUCACAAAUUUAAAGGACUCUAUAUGCUGUUAAAAGAUUUUAGUACACUUGCAUCUCCAAACAAUCACUAGAACAAAAAAACUCCUGAGUCAACCACGGUCGUCUAAUUUGCUACAGUAUAGGUAACCGCCGUCUAUUGUGAUAAUUUAUUUAACAAGCUGAAAAACCAAGCUGCUGUAACAUAAAUUGAUUAAAAUUUGAUGCCACACACAGUCUGUGUUGCAGAUUGCAGAUCAAAAGGCAACCUUAAUUGCUUAAACCACAAUGUUGAUUGCAGAUAUGGGGAAGAUUUGGUGAAGUAACUUAAUUUUAUAAUUCAUUGGUACCAAAUUGUACAUUAACCUAAAUAAUUCUUUCAUGUUUCAUCCACACUGAUUUGCUUCUUGGAGCUAACAUAAAUAAUGAUGCCAUGAAAAGUAUGCCAAAGUGUUCACUUAUUUAUUUAGUUUGAAGAUUUUGAGAACCAAUCCAACAUAUAAGAAUGAACGAAAAAAUUGAAGCAUGACGGUAGUCAUAAUCUGUACUUCAGAGAAAAACAAAAGCUUUGAUAAAUAGAAACAAAUACUUGAUGACAUUUAUUAUAGUGAUUCACAAACUAAACUAGUAAAAUAACAGUAUGAUACACUAAGAAAUGCAGACAGGCAUAGCUCCUUCUUAGGACUUUCCAGCUGGGUUUACAGUUAAGGUUUGGCAAUCAGAUUCUGAGACAAUGCACUUGUGGAUUCUGUCAAUGAAAGCAGUAGCUUUGUUGUCGAUGCCGGGCUCAGCUACCCACCCACCUCUGUCCUCCUCACUAACCCACACCCUUCGUGCACUCAUAUACAAAUCCUCCCCCAUGUCAUCUCCUCUGCGAGGCCUCCUCGAUUUGAACAAGCUGAAGAAUGAGAAGGAGGAUUUUUUCUGCCUGUUGUUGCCUCCCAUAACUCUUCUUCGACAAGAAAAAAAUUAAGCACAGUGCUUUAGGUGAUGAGAUGAAGAAAGUACAAAUGUUACUCUCUUCGGUUUGUAGUGGCAAGAAGGAAGAUGUUCUGUAUUUAUAGUUGCAAGUAGCCUUUGUAAAGACGAUCCUAGUGGGUGGAGAAUCUUGGAGGAUUCAAACUUCCAAGGAAGUAAUGGAUGGUUGAGAUGACAAAUUUCUUAUGGUCCUCUGCUUUCUCAAUUGACCAAAACAGACUCAAGGCAUUAUUGGCACUUUAUUUUUCUCAAGUACUUGUACUUCCAUGGACCUUCCAUUGAAAUUUACACAGAGAUCUUUUGGAUAGUGAUAUUGCACCUAAAACUUACUGCUACCUUUCCCACUUUCAUCUUCCCCAUCAUAUAAUUUCCAAUGAUGAUCAUCCAAAUCUGACCUCUUCUUUUGGGAGUUUGUUCUCUACCACUGCUUUUAUUUCUGCUAACAGUACUUAUGUCUGUGAAGAAACACUAUGCCUAGAUACAUCUGCAUGUUGUACUAGGCUUUAAAAACAACUAUAUAAAGUAAAACGCUUAACUGAACUGUGUUAGAUUCCAAAGUUUGUAGCCACUUUAUAUGAAUUUCAACCAGUAUUUCGCUUGAAUUAAGACAUUAGAGUUCGGUUCUCGUCCUUCCUUUCCCUAAGAUCUAAUAGAGAAAUUUCUUGUAUGUGACCAUUGCAUGGAAUCAUUUUUGAAGCCAUGGGCCUCCUUUGUCCCUAAAGAGCUAGAGGGGACAACUUUAUUAUUAUUAUGGUUUUUGUCAAUCAACAACUUUAUUAUUAUAUGGUUGUUCUGAAAAUGCCUGAAAGAAUACUAUGUGAUGGGAAUGAGGGUCACAAAUCUAAAGGACUCUAUACGUUCUUUAAAGAUUUUAAUAUACUUGCACCUCCAAACAAUUUAACCAUGAAUUUAAUUUGGUUUAUUUAACAAGCUCAAAAACCAAGCUGCUGUAUCAUCAAUCAAGUGAAAUUUGAUGCUACACACAACCUGUCAUGGGAUUGUUGCAGAUUGCAGAUCAAAAGGCAACCUUAAAUCACGAUGUUGAUUGCAGAGAUGGGGAAGAUUCGGUUAAGUAACGUAAACCAUUGGUACCAAAUUGUACAUUAACUUACUAAUUAUCAUUCCUGAACUAAAAAUUUACUGUUAAUAUCUUGAACCUGCUGCACUUCUGCUUAUUUCAUGUUUCUUCUACAAUUUAUUUAUUUUAAUAAAGAAAACACUGGAGAACUUUCACACUGAUUUGCUUCUUGGUGCUUAUAUUAUAACAAUCUACUAUAAAACAUGAUGAAUGAUGUCAUGAAAAGUAGGCCAAAGUUGUCAUGUAUUAACUACUUUUAAGGAAACUCAAAACCAGUUAGUUUGAAGAUUUUGAAAACCAAGAUAUAAGAAUGAACAAAAACACUGAAGCAUGAUGGUAGGCAUAAUCUGUACUUAAAAGGGAAAAACAGAAGGUUUGAUAAACAGAAACAAAUUCUUGAUGAUAUUUAUUGUAGUGAUUCACAAACUAAACUAGAUUCAACUUAUUUGAAUAAAAUAACAGUAUGAUACACUAAUAAAUGCAGAGAGGCAUAGCUCCUUCUUAGGACUUUCCAGCAGGGUUUACAGUUAAGGUUUGGCAAUCAGAUUCUGAGACAAUGCUCUUGUGGAUUCUGUCAAUGAAAGCAGUAGCUUUGUUGUCGAUGCCGGGCUCAGCUAUCCACCCGCCUCUGUCCUCCUCACUAGGCCACACCUUUCUUGCACUCAUAUUCAAAUCCUCCCCCAUGUCAUCUCCUCUGCGAGGCCUCCUCGAUUUGAACAAGCUGAAGAAUGAGAAGGAGGAUUUUUUCUGCCUGUUGUUGCCUCCCAUAACUCUUCUUUGACAAGAAAACAAAUUAAGCACAGGGCUUUAGGUAAUGAGAUGAAGAAAGUACAAAUGUUACUCUCUUCGGUUUGUAAGAAGGAAGAUGUUCUGUAUUUAUAGUAGGAAGUAGCCUUUGUUAAAAUGAUCCUAGUGGGCGGAGAAUCUUGGAGGAUUCAAACUUCCAAGGAAGUAAUGGGUGGUGGAGAUAACAAAUUUCUUAUGGUCCUCUGCUUUCUCAAUUGACCAAAACAGACUUAAGGCAUUAUUGGCUCUUUUAUUUUUCUCAAGGACUUCCAUGGACCUUCCAUUGAAAUUUACACAGAGAUCUUUUGGACAGUGAUAUUGCACCUAAAAUUCAUUGCUACCUUUUCUACUUUCAUCUUCCCCAUCAUAUAAUUUCUAAUGAUCAUCAACAAAUCUGACCUCUUUUUUUUGGGGAUAUAAUCAACUUUACUGUGAGAUGUAUUUAAUUAACAGAUACCAUCUAGGAUUUUGACACCAGAACAGGUAAAACCCUCGCGAUCUAGCGUUUAAAUUAUGAUUAGUUUGUGCUUGGCAUGAUAAAUGGGGUUUUUCUAGAGAAAAGAAUUAUUAUCUUCACUUUCUUUCUCCUU